ACUGCACUACAAGCCAGCAGCGGCAGCUAAGAUCGUUAAAACGUGUUGUGUGCUUGACAAUAUAGCUAACAAAGCGAAUUGUGAACUGCCUCCGCUGAACCGACACGAAGAACAGGAGCAGCAGCAGGAGCAGAGAUUAGCGGCGGAGUUUGACGCCCGUCAGCAGAAUGCUGAUAUUUAUUUGGCAAUAGCUCCUGACAGGUGUUGGCUAAACAAAGAGCUGCAGCUGGGUCGCGCUGCUCGUCAAGCGCUUGUCCGGCAGUUAGCAAAUUAUUGAUUCUUCAUCGGACCAAGGCCGAUUUGUCCAGGACCAAUUUUCGGAUCUCCUGGGCUUCCUGGAACAAGGACUAGUGAUUGUUUCGAGGAGCUGUCAUGGUGUUGGCUCUUGAUAUUUUAUCGUGAAACGCAGAUUUAAUGAUGAAGGCGCGUCGGAACCCAAACGUCAAGAAUCGCCGACGUUCACAGAAGCAGCUACAAUGAGCGGAGAAUCUGAGAGCCAGGAAUGCGGAGCACCUAGCUACUACUAAAAUGGAGAACCCGGACCUAUUAGCGACAUGGAACUGACCAGGACCGUCGUGGGCUCCUCAUGUGCCACCCCCGGAUACCUUUUCUGAUUGUGGUGUUUACAGUACAGUAGUGUACAUAUUCAUGAAAAAAAAAUUGUAGGUACUUUUUUUACAUUUUUAAAAAACGCACUCUGCAUGGUUUUGGAGUUUCGACUUCGUGCUAGAUAAAAACCCCCAGGCAAGAGCAAACAAUUUUUUUUCCUAGCCUAUAUUUGUGACCCACUGCAAAGGCCUCUCUUUUCUUCCGCCACCCAUCACGUUUUGCCGCCUGCUUCGGCUAGCCGCUGCAAAAUACGUCGAGGUCAUCUCGCCUCG